rnacentral:rRNA from 1 species
CAGCAGCCGCGGUAAUACGUAGGGUGCGAGCGUUAAUCGGAAUUACUGGGCGUAAAGCGUGCGCAGGCGGCUUUGCAAGACAGAGGUGAAAUCCCCGGGCUCAACCUGGGAACUGCCUUUGUGACUGCAAGGCUAGAGUACGGCAGAGGGGGAUGGAAUUCCGCGUGUAGCAGUGAAAUGCGUAGAUAUGCGGAGGAACACCGAUGGCGAAGGCAAUCCCCUGGGCCUGUACUGACGCUCAUGCACGAAAGCGUGGGGAGCAAACAGGAUUAGAUACCCUGGUAGUCCACGCCCUAAACGAUGUCAACUGGUUGUUGGACGGCUUGCUGUUCAGUAACGAAGCUAACGCGUGAAGUUGACCGCCUGGGGAGUACGGCCGCAAGGUUGAAACUCAAAGAAAUUGACGG